rnacentral:rRNA from 1 species
CCGAUGGAGGGGGAUAACUACUGGAAACGGUAGCUAAUACCGCAUAACGUCGCAAGACCAAAGAGGGGGACCUUCGGGCCUCUUGCCAUCGGAUGUGCCCAGAUGGGAUUAGCUAGUAGGUGGGGUAACGGCUCACCUAGGCGACGAUCCCUAGCUGGCUGAGAGGAUGACCAGCCACACUGGAACUGAGACACGGUCCAG